AUUGAACGCUGGCGGCAGGCCUAACACAUGCAAGUCGAGCGGUAACACAGGGAGCUUGCUCCUGGGUGACGAGCGGCGGACGGGUGAGUAAUGUCUGGGAAACUGCCUGAUGGAGGGGGAUAACUACUGGAAACGGUAGCUAAUACCGCAUAAUGUCGCAAGACCAAAGAGGGGGACCUUCGGGCCUCUUGCCAUCAGAUGUGCCCAGAUGGGAUUAGCUAGUAGGUGGGGUAACGGCUCACCUAGGCGACGAUCCCUAGCUGGUCUGAGAGGAUGACCGGCCACACUGGAACUGAGACACGGUCCAGACUCCUACGGGAGGCAGCAGUGGGGAAUAUUGCACAAUGGGCGCAAGCCUGAUGCAGCCAUGCCGCGUGUAUGAAGAAGGCCUUCGGGUUGUAAAGUACUUUCAGUGGGGAGGAAGGUGUUGAGGUUAAUAACCUCAGCAAUUGACGUUACCCGCAGAAGAAGCACCGGCUAACUCCGUGCCAGCCGCCGCCGUAA
rnacentral:rRNA from 1 species